ACCGAUGGAUUUUGAUGACGAUUAAGUAAGGUCGCUUUAGGGAGUAAUCUCUAUCGAAAAACUGUGUGAAUUCAGGGAACAUCUGACCAUUAAGUUGAAGACAACCUCUGAGCCAAGUCCGUAAGGAAAGGUGCAACGACUAACUAAAACCUACCUACGAAAGUAGCGGGAGUAAGAGUACAGCCAAGUGGUAGAAGUGUUGGGUAAUUACCAUAUAAAUCUUCUUUAAAUGGAAGCGCACAGCCCCUGUAAAGGGUGAUGAUAUAGUCUGCUCUGCAUGGAAACAUGUAG
rfam:Vibrio phage helene 12B3 genomic sequence.